rnacentral:rRNA from 1 species
UACAGAGGGGGCAAGCGUUAUUCGGAAUUAUUGGGCGUAAAGGGCGCGUAGGCGGCUUGGCAAGUGGAUGGUGAAAUCCCUCGGCUUAACCGAGGAACGGCCGUCCAAACUGCUUCGCUUGAGACCGGGAGAGGUGAGUGGAAUUCCCAGUGUAGCGGUGAAAUGCGUAGAUAUCUGGAGGAACACCGGUGGCGAAGGCGGCAUCCUGGACCAACACUGACGCUGAGUGAGCGAAAGCCAGGGGAGCAAACGGG